UACUAGAAUUAAAAGUAUAUAUGCUACCGUGCCCAGCUUAUUUCUGUAUUUUCUUCGGAAAAAAAAUUCCAUCUUUAUUCUUUGGCAAUUUUCAAAUUGGAUCUCAGUCUUCAUUUCCUUAUUGAGCUGCACGUGUCCUUUACCCACCACAAAGACGAGUUUCUUACUGGAUAUAUAACCUGCAGACAGUUUCUCUCGAGGUCAGCAUUUUAUCUUCUUGAUAGUCUCCAAAGAGCAAACGUUUGUUUCAGUUUUGGUGUUGUUUUAGCCCAGCGUGGUAAUGGUUGUUUAUAUCUAAUUCCAGCACUGGCAAGACCAAGCCAGGAGGACACCAAGUGAAGUCCGACUUAGGGUACAUAGUGAGACUCUGUCUGUUUGAGAAAUGAUGACGCCUGGGACAUCCAUCCUUUCUAUUAUAGCUCAGAGUGCCCAAGGAGUCACACCCAAGGCAAAGCCAAGACUAUCUACCUCUCUGGUUUUCUCAUCGGUGCUUUUAGCCCUUAAGUUUGAAUCUUUGCUCUGUUGCCAUGGAAUUGCACAUACAUUGGGAGGUGAAACUGCUUCAUUGUUUUGCAUGUGGAUGUGUCUUUUGUCAAAGUUCUUUUUUUUUUUUUUUUUUUUUAAACCUCUUCAGACUUGCUGAAAAACAGCUGAGAAAUAUAAGGGUGUAUUUUAAAAUCCGAAUUCUCUUUCCAUUUACUGGGGAGUUUAAAAUUUUGAGUUUCCUCUGUCCAAUGGUGUUCUCUUAAUUUUAGUUGUAAACCUGCACUUCUGUUGUUACAUUUAUUCACAGGUGUUUUCUUUUUUUAAUUGAUGCUAUCACAAAUGCUAUCACUUAAUUUGUUUUUAAAUUUUAUUGAUAUAUUGGUAGGGUAUAGAGAACUGGGUAACUUUAGAUGUUGGUAUCUUAGUCUGAUAUCUUGAUGAACUCAUUUAACAUAUUUAAGUUUUUAAAAUCUACUCCUCAAGACCUAAAUGUCGUUGCCAGAUGGUUUCAAUAAAACCAAUUUUGUGUGGAUUGCAUUAAUUUUCUGACAGUUGGUUUGUUGAUUGUUUUGAAUACCUUUGUUAGUAUCCCAUUCAUGGGAUCUUUGGAAUGCGGUUCGUUCCUUGCUAUGAUAGUCUUUCAGUGGCCUGUGUCUGGCUUCCUUCAGUAAAACUGCAGGUCUUGGGCUAGCAUUUGGGUGUUCAGCACAGAGUAAUAUGAAGGCGUUGGUACAAUCAACCUUGGCCAUAUCCUUUAACUAAGGAGCCUACCCCAGGUCCCAACAUCAAACUACAGUGCUCCCCACCACGUCUCCAUGUCUGUGAAAUCCAUUUAAUCUUUCUCACUACACCAGAACCUAACUACUGGUUUCCUCUAGAGUUCAGCCUGUAGCAGCUCAGACCUGCACGGUGUUGUGUGUUUCUGUUUCUGAAGCAUGUAUGCCUGUAAUGUCAGUCAGAUAAAAGCAGCUCAGCGAAGGACGAAGGACGAGUUUGUUUUGGCUCACGGUUUCAGAGUACAGGAUGUGAUGGUGCACACGGAAUGGCAGCAGGAGUGUGAGGCAGCUGGUCACACUGCAUCCAUAGCCCGAAAGCAGGAAGCCGGAAGCCGAGAGAACUGGAGAAUGGUGCUCUGUUCACAUUUCCCUUUGUAUGCAGUCUAGGAUGUGAGCCCCUGGGAUAGUACUGUCUGCAUCCGGAGGUGAUUCUCAGUUAGAGCUCCACGGGACCCCUCUUACUGACACACUAAGUGUGUCUCCUAGAUGAUUCUAAAUCUAUAGAGUACAGUAACCAUUACCAGUGGCCGUCUGAUUUGAUUUUCUUACCCAAUUCAAGAAACUAGUAUAAUUUUAACAGUAUUUAAAGUAGUGAAUAAUAAGAAAUUAUAGAAGAGACUAAAUGGUCUUGCUAUCACUUCAGAGCUCCAGCUAUUGCUUAUUGUAGUGUAAGUUUUCAGAAUAUAUUUCAAGAACAUUCCCUAAUGUGGUAGAAUUCUCCCUGGUAAAUUCUAUGGUUUAUUGACAUUUAUUUACCAUGUUUUCAUUUCAUUACUUUAAUUCUAUAAGGUUAUUUUCACAGGCUUAUAUUUAAAAUUAUACAGCUUGGAGAACUUUUUAUUGAAUUAUUUUUUAACUUAAAAUAUAAUUACAUCAUUCCCCUUGUCUUUCCUUGCUCCAACCAUUCCCUUAUACCCCUCUUGUUCUCUCUCAAAUACAUGCUCUCUAUGUGUGUUUAUGUGUAUAUAUACAUAUACAUCAUAUACAUACACAUACAUAUACAUAUAUAUGCCUAUACAUCCCUAAAUAUACAAAUACAACCUGCUCAGUCCCCAUAGUGUUACUUGUACGUACAUGAUUUCAGAGAUGGCCACACAGUGUUGGAUCACUGAUCUGUGGUUUCUCCAGUUCUCAUCAUCCCUUAGUUAACUGCAGUCCUUUGACUAGACUGAGGCCUAAUGAGAUUUCUCCUUCUCUUGGUCGUGUCUAUCGACGUUGUCCUUGUUCAGAGUUUGUUUAGGUAUCCGUGCUGAUGAGAUUUCCUGGGUUUAUCUUCUCUGGUAUUCCUAAUAGUAAAAUCUCACAGCAAACUUAUGGUAAUCUGGCUCAUGACUACCUUUUCUCUCAUCUUUCCUGGUUCAUCUUGAUCAGGAGCCAUCUUUCCUCUCAUCUUUGCUGGUGUAGAUGGAUGGGUUGGGACUGGGCAGCCCGUGCUCACUUGCUCUCUGCAUUUUAUGUAGUUGUGACUUUCUGCAGUCAUGUCUGACUGUUGCAAGGAAAUGCUUCUUUGAUGAGAGAUGAGACUAAGAUAUGCAUAAAAGGAUAGAGAUUUAGGAUGUAGUUAUUGAUUAUGCUGAUUUAUAUCCUCUGAGUUAUAUCCUUGGCCAUAUAUUUAUAUGGCUUAUAUAUGUGGCUAUAUUUAAGUGGUGGGUUUUAGGUUCUCCUCGCAGAUUAGUGACUUUAUCAGCCUUGGGGAGCUGGCUAGGUCUCCAGUACCAGGCGUGGGUUUCUUCAUGUUGAGAGGAUCUUAAGUCCAAUUUGACAGCUGUUGGUUAUCACCAAGUUGUGUGUGCCCCUAUUGCAAAUUGUGCCAUGGCGGUCAUUGUUUUAGUUUGGAGCCAUAGAGCAGGGUAGGGCUAUCAGUUGCUUGGAAGCCUGUGUGGAGCCUUCUGAUACCACGAGAACUAGUUCUCAGGGACUUUAAAAAAGUAAAAUAUGCCGGGCGUGAUGGCACACGCCUUUAAUCCCAGCACUCGGGAGGCAGAGACAGGCAGAUUUCUGAGUUCGAGGCCAGCCUGGUCUACAAAGUGAAUUCCAGGACAGCCAAAGCUAUACAGAGAAACCCUGUCUCAAAAAACCAAAUAAAUAAAUAAAUACAUAAAAAAGUAAAAUAUACUAUUAUAAUUGUAUGUUCUAAAGGGAAAUCUAUUUUAUGAUUCAAAGAAUAGAACACAAGCCUCAUUCCAGGAAAAUAAGUGUUGACAUUACAUUAAUUGAUGGUUUGGCAUCCUCUAACACUUUGGAAGUAGGAUUUUCAUAAUAGACAUCUGAAAACAACAAUUCUUAUUCAGUAAGAAUUUCCUUUUUGGAGAUUGGUAGACCCAAAAGAAAGAGAAAAAGUAGAAGUCUUUAACCCAUUCGAGAAACUUGAACUCAAGGAUGCUGGGUAAGGAUGGCUGGGGAGGAGUACCAAGCAGAUUUGAAUCUGUAAGAAAUCAAGGAUGAAGGUAGCAGAGAACAGGAAUGAGGUGUGCCGUGCAGCACUCAAGUAGGUGACCGACCGUAAGAACCUGGGUGCUCAUCUGGGAGGACGGACUGCCGAAGCCGGAUUCCGGCGGGCAUUUUAGGGCCGUGUUAAGGUGAGAAGAAGAAAGUAGUUCUUCGUGCCCUGCAACUAUCUAAUAAUACGCUGCCAUAGCUGUCUUCUAAUUGUAGGAGGUGCUUUAUUGGAAAUCUCAAGUUUGAACUCCUCAGACUCUGUCCGUCUCCUAUCCCUCUAGGGCCAGCUCAGCCCUUCAUCCUGUCAGAGCGCAUAAAACAGAACAGCUUACAAUUUGCUAUGAAGGGGUCUUCGGGAUGAAGCAUCUUAAUGUCUGGAAAGAUUAGACGGGAUCUUCAUGCUUAAAGACUCCCAUGAAACAUUUCAAAUCACACGGAUGUGUCUCGGUGCCCUUUGCCAAAAUUAAUAGAUUUAGGCUGUGGAGUUAGAAGAAGGCUAAGUAUCCAUACCCACCUAUCAUCCAAUAACAUUUACUAUUUUUAAAUCUUCUUAUAGCUCCUGUACUCUUAAACUGAGAAUAUAUUAAGUCAGAAAGGCUACCUAUUUUAGACUCCUGUAAGUUAACACAUAGGGGCAAUUUCGAUGUAUAGUGACAUUCUAGAAAUAAAUAUCACACACAAUGACCUAGAGACUACACCAUGUUGAUCGCAUGCGGCUGUUUUUACUUGCUUGCUUGUUUGUAAUUUUGACUAUUUAUCAGUCUGAGGUUGACCCGCCUUUCUGGUUUCAAAUAGCUAUUCCAAGAGCCCUGAUAAAGAAUGGCACAGAGGGACCAUGGCGUAAUAAACCACCAAGUGAGCUACUUUGAAUUCCUCUCAUGUUCUGAGAACGAGAAUGUCUUAAGCUUUGAUAGAACAGGGCAAUUUUAUAUUUUCCGUCUGACUACUUUAAAAGGUUCAUUGUCUUUUAAUUAAACUACGGUGGGGGGGGGGCUGCUGGGGGAGAGAGCAGAGAUUAAAAGCUGUCGUGCUGUAAACGGGGUGGCUUUUAGCAACUAGUAGAUGAGUGAAGCCACCACCUCAAGCAAGAUGAACUACAGCAACAAGUUCUGUGCCUCGAAGCUUCUCCUUGUCUGACUGUAGCAGUAAUUUGGAGUUAAUUUGUGUGGCUUCCGCAGU
rnacentral:lncRNA from 1 species